AGUGAACGCUGGCGGUAGGCCUAACACAUGCAAGUCGAACGGCAGCACAGUAAGAGCUUGCUCUUACGGGUGGCGAGUGGCGGGCGGGUGAGGAGUACAUCGGAAUCUACUUUUUCGUGGAGGAUAACGUAAGGAGACUUACGCUAAUACCGCAUACGACCUACGGGUGAAAGCAGGGGAUCUUCGGACCUUGCGCGAUUGAAUGAGCCGCUGUCGGAUUAGCUAGUUGGCGGGGUAAAGGCCCACCAAGUCGACGAUCCGUAGCUGGUCUGAGAGGAUGAUCAGCGACACUGGAACUGAGACACGGUCCAGACUCCUAAGGGAGGCAGCAGUGGGGAAUAUUGGACAAUGGGCGCAAGCCUGAUCCAGCCAUACCGCGUGGGUGAAGAAGGCCUUCGGGUUGUAAAGCCCUUUUGUUGGGAAAGAAAAGCAGCAGGUUAAUACCCCGCUGUUCUGACGGUACCCAAAGAAUAAGCACCGGCUAACUUCGUG
rnacentral:rRNA from 1 species